rnacentral:tRNA from 1 species
GCCCGGGUGUCGGAAAGGUAUACGAGAGUGACUUAAAAUCACUUGGCUGGAUAAGCCGUGUGGGUUCGAAUCCCACCCCGGGCACCA